rnacentral:rRNA from 1 species
GGUCAAGCGACUACGGCGCACGGUGGAUGCCUUGGCACUUUGAGCCGAUGAAGGACGUGGUAUGGCUGCGAUAAGCCGCGGGGAGCUGCCUAACAAGCUGAUCCGCGGGUUUCCGAAUGAGGCAACUCGGCGACGGUUAUACGUCGUCACCCCGGACUGAACACAUAGGUCCGGAGGAGGUAAGCGGGGGAACUGAAACAUCUAAGUACCCCGAGGAAAAGACACCAUUCCCCUAGUAGCGGCGAGCGAACGGGGAGAAGCCCAAACCCUCGAUGCCCAACGGCGGCACAGCUUAUGCUUCGAGGGGGUUGUAGGGCGAUCGGUGUGGGCCCGUGUCGGCCCGCCAGCAGUUAUCAAGCGAUCAGGUAGAAAAAGGUCCCUGGAACGGGCCACCAGAGCGGGUGACAGUCCCGUAUUCGAAACCUGCAUUGCCUGCUGCGAUCGUUCCUGAGUAGCACGCGACACGGGAAAGCGCGUGUGAAGCUGGGAAGCCCACUUCCCAAGGCUAAAUACUCAAAGUGACCGAUAGCGGACAAGUACCGUGAGGGAAAGGUGAAAAGUACCCCGGAAGGGGAGUGAAAUAGUUCCUGAAACCGUGUGCUUUCAAACAGUCGGAGGAUGCCUGCGGGCGUCUGACGGCGUGCCUAUUGAAGAAUGAGCCGGCGAGUUACGUUUCGUGGCAAGGUUAAGCCAAGCAAUUGGCGGAGCCGGAGCGAAAGCGAGUCUGAAUAGGGCGAUUCAGUCGCGGGACGUAGACGCGAAACCAGGUGAGCUACCCAUGACCAGGGUGAAGCGGGUGUAACAACUCGUGGAGGCCCGAACCAGUGUCUGUUGCAAAAGGCUUGGAUGAGUUGUGGGUAGAGGUGAAAUGCCAAUCGAACUUGGAGAUAGCUCGUUCUCCCCGAAAUGCCUUUAGGGGCAGCGUCGGCGUAAAUCGACCAUGGAGGUAGGGCUCUGACUGGGCUCGGGGACGAAAAGUCUACCAACCCCAAUCAAACCGCGAAUGCCAAGGCCGUAGCGCAGGCAGUGAGACUGUGGGGGAUAAGCUUCAUAGUCGAAAGGGAAACAGCCCAGACCAUCGGUUAAGGUCCCGAAAUCUUUGCUAAGUGGUAAAGGAAGUUGAACCGCCCAGACAACCAGGAGGUUGGCUUAGAAGCAGCCACCCUUGAAAGAGUGCGUAAUAGCUCACUGGUCGAGUGGUUUGGCGCCGACAAUGUAACGGGGCUCAAGCAAAGUACCGAAGCCAUGGAUUUCGCCUUCGGGCGGAGUGGUAGGGGAGCGUUCUGUUCAGCAGUGAAGGCCGACCCGUGAGGGCGGUUGGAGCGGACGGAAGUGAGAAUGCCGGCAUGAGUAGCGUAAGGCGUGUGCGAACCACGCCCACCGAACGCCUGAGGAUUCCUACGGAAGGGCAAUCCACGUAGGGUUAGGCGGGCCUAAGCCGAGGACAGUCGUCGUAGGCGAUGGACAGCCGGUUCAUAUUCCGGCCCCACCGGUCCGAACAUUUGAGCUUUAGGGGGGACCCGGGUUGGUAGCUAGAGCGUGCCUAUUGGAUAUGGUGCGUCGCUAGGGCGUAGGCAGCGAGCGGGGCGAAAAGACCGCUCGGUCAAGCGGAGGCCUUGGCGGAAGCAGCGACGUCAGUCAAAGCGACUCCGGCGAUCCUAUCCCGGCAAGAAAAGCCUCGGAAGCGAGUUCGGGCGGUGCCCGUACCGCAAACCGACACAGGUAGGUGGGGGUAAGUACCUUCAGGUGGACGAGUGAUUCCUCGCUAAGGAACUCGGCAAAAUCGCUCCGUAACUUCGGGAGAAGGAGCGCCUCACUCGGGACACAUCUUCGCGAUGUGCCUUUGGUGAGGUCGCAGCGAGCAGGCCCAGGCGACUGUUUAACAAAAACACAGGUCUCUGCUAACGGGAAACCGGACGUAUAGGGGCUGACGCCUGCCCAGUGCCGGAAGGUUAAGGGGAGGGCUUCACGGCCCGAACCGAAGCCCCGGUGAACGGCGGCCGUAACUAUAACGGUCCUAAGGUAGCGAAAUUCCUUGUCGGGUAAGUUCCGACCCGCACGAAAGGCGUAACGAUCUGGGCACUGUCUCAGCGAGGAGCUCGGCGAAAUUGAAGUGGCCGUGAAGAUGCGGCCUACGCGCAGAUGGACAAAAAGACCCCGUGGAGCUUUACUGCAGCUUGGCAUUGAAGGCCGUCAUAAGAUGCGUAGGAUAGGUGGGAGGCUUGGAACCGGGACUUGCGGGUCUCGGGGAGCCACCCUUGAAAUACCACCCUUCCUAUGAUGUCCUUCUAACGCCUGUGCAAGCAGGCGGACCAUGCCUGGUGGGCAGUUUGACUGGGGCGGUCGCCUCCCAAAAUGUAACGGAGGCGCGCAACGGUUCCCUUAAGGUGGAUGGAAAUCACCUGACACGUGUAUUGGCAUAAGGGAGCUUGACUGCAAGACAGACACGUCGCGCAGGGACGAAAGUCGGCCAAAGUGAUCCUACGGUUCCGUGUGGAAGGGCCGUGGCUUAUCGGAUAAAAGUUACCCCGGGGAUAACAGGCUUAUCUUGCCCGAGAGUUCACAUCGCCGGCAAGGUUUGGCACCUCGAUGUCGGCUCGUCGCAUCCUGGGGCUGGAGUCGGUCCCAAGGGUUGGGCUGUUCGCCCAUUAAAGCGGCACGCGAGCUGGGUUCAGAACGUCGUGAGACAGUUCGGUCUCUAUCCUCUGUGCGCGUUGGAGAGUUGAGAGGAUCUGCCCCUAGUACGAGAGGACCGGGGUGGACGGACCGCUGGUGUGCCAGUUGGCAGGCCUACUGCCAUUGCUGGGUAGCCACGUCCGGAAAGGAGAAGCGCUGAAAGCAUCUAAGCGCGAAACCCCCCUCAAGAUGAACUCUCCCACCGGUUUAAACCGGGUAAGGUCACGGGAAGACUACCCGUUCGAUAGGCGGCAUGUGGAAGCGCAGUAAUGCGUGCAGCUUAGCCGUACUAAUGACCGAGGGCUUGACCUA